CAGUAGCCGCGGUAAGACAGAGGAUGCAAGCGUUAUCCGGAAUGAUUGGGCGUAAAGCGUCUGUAGGUGGCUUUUCAAGUCCGCCGUCAAAUCCCAGGGCUCAACCCUGGACAGGCAGUGGAAACUACGAAGCUGGAGUACGGUAGGGGCAGAGAGAAUUUCCGGUGGAGCGGUGAAAUGCGUUGAGAUCGGAAAGAAUACCAACGGCGAAAGCACUCUGCUGGGCCGACACUGACACUGAGAUACGAAAGCUAGGGGAGCAAAUGGGAUUAGAUACCCGCGUAGUCCCUGUCUCAUACAC
rnacentral:rRNA from 1 species